rnacentral:rRNA from 1 species
GAUAAAGCGGGUGAAAAGCCCGCUCGCCGGAAGACCAAGGGUUCCUGUCCAACGUUAAUCGGGGCAGGGUGAGUCGACCCCUAAGGCGAGGCCGAAAGGCGUAGUCGAUGGGAAACAGGUUAAUAUUCCUGUACUUGGUGUUACUGCGAAGGGGGGACGGAGAAGGCUAUGUUAGCCGGGCGACGGUUGUCCCGGUUUAAGCAUGUAGGCUGGUUAUCCAGGCAAAUCCGGAUAACCAAGGCUGAGGUGUGAUGACGAGGCACUACGGUGCUGAAGUAACAAAUGCCCUGCUUCCAGGAAAAGCCUCUAAGCAUCAGGUAACAUCAAAUCGUACCCCAAACCGACACAGGUGGUCAGGUAGAGAAUACCAAGGCGCUUGAGAGAACUCGGGUGAAGGAACUAGGCAAAAUGGUGCCGUAACUUCGGGAGAAGGCACGCUGGUGUGUAGGUGAAGUCCCUGCGGAUGGAGCUGAGACCAGUCGAAGAUACCAGCUGGCUGCAACUGUUUAUUAAAAACACAGCACUGUGCAAACACGAAAGUGGACGUAUACGGUGUGACGCCUGCCCGGUGCCGGAAGGUUAAUUGAUGGGGUUAUCCGUAAGGAGAAGCUCUUGAUCGAAGCCCCGGUAAACGGCGGCCGUAACUAUAACGGUCCUAAGGUAGCGAAAUUCCUUGUCGGGUAAGUUCCGACCUGCACGAAUGGCGUAAUGAUGGCCAGGCUGUCUCCACCCGAGACUCAGUGAAAUUGAACUCGCUGUGAAGAUGCAGUGUACCCGCGGCAAGACGGAAAGACCCCGUGAACCUUUACUAUAGCUUGACACUGAACAUUGAGCCUUGAUGUGUAGGAUAGGUGGGAGGCUUUGAAGCGUGGACGCCAGUCUGCGUGGAGCCAACCUUGAAAUACCACCCUUUAAUGUUUGAUGUUCUAACGUUGGCCCCUUACCGGGGUUGCGGACAGUGUCUGGUGGGUAGUUUGACUGGGGCGGUCUCCUCCCAAAGCGUAACGGAGGAGCACGAAGGUUAGCUAAUCCUGGUCGGACAUCAGGAGGUUAGUGCAAUGGCAUAAGCUAGCUUGACUGCGAGCGUGACGGCGCGAGCAGGUGCGAAAGCAGGUCAUAGUGAUCCGGUGGUUCUGAAUGGAAGGGCCAUCGCUCAACGGAUAAAAGGUACUCCGGGGAUAACAGGCUGAUACCGCCCAAGAGUUCAUAUCGACGGCGGUGUUUGGCACCUCGAUGUCGGCUCAUCACAUCCUGGGGCUGAAGUAGGUCCCAAGGGUAUGGCUGUUCGCCAUUUAAAGUGGUACGCGAGCUGGGUUUAGAACGUCGUGAGACAGUUCGGUCCCUAUCUGCCGUGGGCGCUGGAGAAUUGAGGGGGGCUGCUCCUAGUACGAGAGGACCGGAGUGGACGCAUCACUGGUGUUCGGGUUGUCAUGCCAAUGGCACUGCCCGGUAGCUAAAUGCGGAAGAGAUAAGUGCUGAAAGCAUCUAAGCACGAAACUUGCCCCGAGAUGAGUUCUCCCUGAGACUUUAAGUCUCCUGAAGGAACGUUGAAGACGACGACGUUGAUAGGCCGGGUGUGUAAGCGCAGCGAUGCGUUGAGCUAACCGGUACUAAUGAACCGUGAGGCUUAACCUU